rnacentral:rRNA from 1 species
UCCGUAGGUGAACCUGCGGAAGGAUCAUUAAAGAUGUUCAACGGAUGUGCUGGCCUUGACUGGCAUGUGCACUCCAAAACCCGGACCGCGUCCUCUGGACGUGUGUUCACCCUUUACAAAACCUGUUGAUACAAGCUCUGGAACGAGACAAUUAAAAGUUGAAACAACCAUCAGCAACGGAUCUCUUGGCAUUCCAAUCGAUGAAGAACGUAGCGAAUUGCGAUAAGUAAUGUGAAUUGCAGAAUUCAGUGAAUCAUCGAAUCUUUGAACGCACCUUGCGCCCUCUGGUAUUCCGGAGGGCAUGCCCGGUUGAGUGUCAUGAAUAUCUCAACUCCAAUGUUUCUUACAAGGUCCUUGGACUUUGCGCUGCUGGCCUAACGAGGCUGCAGAUGCCGUCUCUGGAUCGAAGCACUGGAGCUUGGAUUUGAGCUCUGUUGGCCUUCGGGUCGACUGGCUAGAAAUGGAUCAGCGAUGCGUGAUCCCUUGGGUCCAUCUCGGCGUGAUAAGUUGAUCGUCGCAAAGGUCUCUCGGGGGGUGGUGGGGGCUCGGCUCCCUAAUCGGUCUUCGGGACAGGCUUUGGACGGUUUAACCUCAACUCGGGGGGGUAGGGGACUACCCGGGCUGAACUUAA